CUUCAAGAAAGGUCAAAUCAGACCCUGAAAACUAAAUUAGCUAAAUUGAAGGCGGAGACUGGAAUUGGUUGGAUUAAAUUACUUCCCA